GUAACAGGCCUAGCUUGCUAGGUGCUGACGAGUGGCGGACGGGUGAGUAACGCGUAGGAAUCUACCUAGUAGUGGGGGAUAACCUGGGGGAACCCAGGCUAAUACCGCAUAAGCCCUAAGGGGGAAAGCAGGGGACCGUAAGGCCUUGUGCUAUUAGAUGAGCCUGCGUCAGAUUAGCUUGUUGGUGGGGUAAAGGCCUACCAAGGCGAUGAUCUGUAGCUGGUCUGAGAGGACGACCAGCCACACUGGGACUGAGACACGGCCCAGACUCCUACGGGAGGCAGCAGUGGGGAAUAUUGGACAAUGGGCGCAAGCCUGAUCCAGCAAUGCCGCGUGUGUGAAGAAGGCCUGCGGGUUGUAAAGCACUUUCAGUGGGGAGGAAGGCCUCGAUAUUAAUACUAUUGAGGAUUGACGUUACCCACAGAAGAAGCACCGGCUAACUCUGUGCCAGCAGCCGCGGUAAUACAGAGGGUGCAAGCGUUAAUCGGAAUUACUGGGCGUAAAGGGUGCGUAGGUGGUUUCUUAAGUCAGAUGUGAAAGCCCCGGGCUCAACCUGGGAAUUGCAUUUGAUACUGAGUAACUUGAGUAUGGUAGAGGGAAGUGGAAUUUCCAGUGUANCGGUGAAAUGCGUAGAUAUUGGAAGGAACAUCAGUGGCGAAGGCGACUUCCUGGACCAUUACUGACACUGANGCACGAAAGCGUGGGGAGCGAACAGG
rnacentral:rRNA from 1 species